rnacentral:piRNA from 1 species
UUUGAGAGGGCCUGGAUUAAACUGCC